AGUGAACGCUGGCGGUAGGCCUAACACAUGCAAGUCGAACGGCAGCACAGUAAGAGCUUGCUCUUACGGGUGGCGAGUGGCGGACGGGUGAGGAAUACAUCGGAAUCUACUUUUUCGUGGGGGAUAACGUAGGGAAACUUACGCUAAUACAGCAUACGACCUACGGGUGAAAGCAGGGGAUCUUCGGACCUUGCGCGAUUGAAUGAGCCGAUGUCGGAUUAGCUAGUUGGCGGGGUAAAGGCCCACCAAGGCGACGAUCCGUAGCUGGUCUGAGAGGAUGAUCAGCCACACUGGAACGGAGACACGGUCCAGACUCCUACGGUAGGCAGCAGUGGGGAAUAUUGGACAAUGGGCGCAAGCCUGAUCCAGCCAUACCGCGUGGGUGAAGAAAGCCUUCGGGUUGUAAAGCCCUUUUGUUGGGAAAGAAAAGCAGCAGGUUAAUACCCCGCUGUUCUGACGGUACCCAAAGAAUAAGCACCGGCUAACUUCGUG
rnacentral:rRNA from 1 species